CUACAUCAAAAUCAUUCACAACACAUGAAAGAUUCAAACAACCUGGAUCUUUUACCUUAGGCGGAUAAUUCUUCUUUGGAGGUUGAAUAUCAAAUUCCUGCUCGUCAUCAUCUUCAUCUAGAUCUAUCAUAUCUCCAAGAUAAAAUUUCAUCCUUGCAGGAAUCUGUUUAAUAACUGAAGGCAUUAUAGUCACUUGGUUAUAAAUUUCUCUUUUCUGCUCGUUGUGACUAAAUCUUGCUUCCUUUUCUUCCUCUCCUUCACUGCUGCUUAUCUCAAUGACCUCUCUUUCCCCCUCUUUGUCACUGCUUCCAAUCUCUAUAACUUCCCUUUCAACCUUUCUUUUACUCCUGGUCACCACAACUUUGCAUUCUUCUUUAGGGUUAACAUCAGUGUUAGCCCUAAACUGGUUAUUUUUAGUGGCUUCUACUCUUUUUG
rnacentral:lncRNA from 1 species